GGGGAAGUGCCCUUAGACAGCUUUAGUUUUAGAGCAGUGCUAUACAGGCGUGAAGAAUCCGUGACAAAGCAUUUUAAUGUAGUCACCCUCCUCCAAAGAGUGACCUAGAAGACAGCUGAAGACCGACUGACUAGGAGAAUGAAAAGUAACUAUUGCCAUGCUGAAGAGAAUGAACUUUGUGGAAAGAGACUGAAGCCCACACCCCGCCGUCUGGCCGGCGUGCGCACGCGCAGAAACCGCUAGGCGGCGUCGGUUUCCCCUCUUACACGCGGAACUCGAAGUGGGCGGCCGUGGCCGCAGUGCUUGCGUCUGCGCAGAGCUGAGCCGGCCGGCUAAGGGGCGGGGCGUGGUGCGACAGGGCGUGGCCUAGAAGGCGGGGCUUUAGGUGAUUCCCAAGCCGCGGCUCAGGCCGUGCUGGGGAAACCGAAAGUGGGCGGCGGCCGCGUCCGGGGCCCUGGCGGAGGUGGCGGAGGGAGCCGGGCCCAGAGGCGCGGGCGUGGGCCGCGGGCCCCCGGGACAGGCAAAGAUGCUGGAGGCAGAUCUGGUCUCCAAGAUGCUACGGGCUGUCCUGCAGUCUCAUAAGAACGGGAUAGUACUGCCCCGGCUCCAAGGAGAGUACCGCUCUUUGACUGGAGACUGGAUCCCCUUCAAACAGCUGGGCUACCCAACUCUGGAAGCGUAUCUGAGGAGCGUGCCAGCGGUUGUCAGGAUAGAGGCUAGUAGAUCUGGAGAGAUUGUCUGCUAUGCUGUAGCCUGCACAGAGACUGCGAGGAUUGCUCAGCUUGUGGCUCGUCAGAGGACCUCUAAAAGGAAAACAGGGCGACAAAUUAAUUGUCAGAUGAGAGUGAAGAAAACCAUGCCAUUCUUUCUAGAAGGGAAACCCAAGGCAACCCUCAGACAACCAGGAUUUGCUUCAGACUAUUCUAUCAGCAAGAAACCCAAUCCAACGCUGUUAAGAGAAAAAGGAAGCACCUUGGGAGCUAAGGCUGAUGUGGACAUGCCACCUUACCCAGACGCUCCAGUGCAGAGGCACGUGAGCAUGUCUGCCAACAGCAGGUUCAGUCCAAAGUCAUCCCUGCCAGCACCUUUCCAGACACACAUCUCACGGGCCUGCCCUAAGGAAGUGAAUG
rnacentral:lncRNA from 1 species